AACGAAAGGAAAGUUUGACGGGGGAGCGACCACGAACGGUGGAGCCUGCGGUUUAAUUGGACUCAACGCCGGGCAGCUCACCGGAUAAGACAGCUGGAUGAUAGCCGGGCUGAAGACUCUGCUUGACUAGCUGAGAGGUGGUGCAUGGCCGUCGUCAGUUCGUACUGUGAAGCAUCCUGUUAAGUCAGGCAACGAGCGAGACCCCACGCCCACAGUUGCCAGCGUACUCUCUGGAGUGACGGGGUACACUGUGGGGACCGCCGCUGCUAAAGCGGAGGAAGGAAUGGGCAACGGUAGGUCAGUAUGCCCCGAAUAUCCCGGGCUACACGCGAGCUACAAUGGUUGGUACAAUGGGUAUCUACCCCGAAAGGGGACGGGAAUCUCCUAAAACCAAUCUUAGUUCGGAUUGAGGGCUGCAACUCGCCCUCAUGAAGCUGGAAUCCGUAGUAAUCGCGUUUCAACAGAACGCGGUGAAUACGUCCCUGCUCCUU
rnacentral:rRNA from 1 species